rnacentral:rRNA from 1 species
UUGCCUGUUUAUCAAAAACAUGUCUGUAUGGGGAUUUAUAAAGUCUGGCCUGCCCACUGGGAUAAAACUAAAGGGCCGCGGUAUUCUAACCGUGCGAAGGUAGCAUAGUCAUUAGUCUUUUAAUUGGGGGCUUGUAUGAAGGGUUGAACAAGAGGCAAACUGUCUCGGAAACAAAGUUUGAAAUUAACUUUUAAGUGAAAAGGCUUGAAUAUUUUAGAGGGGCGAUAAGACCCUAUAAAGCUUGAUAAUUUUAUAUGUAAAUAAAUAAGUUGUUAGUGUUAUAUUGUUUACUUACAAAAUUAUUUCGUUGGGGCGACGAUAAUAUAAUUUGUAACUGUUUGAGGUUUAGAUCCAAAUAUAUUUGUGUUUAAGUGAUCCAUUAAUUGUUGAUUAAAAAUUUAAGUUACUUUAGGGAUAACAGCGUUAUUUAUUUUGAGAGUUCAUAUCGAUAAAAAAGUUUGCGACCUCGAUGUUGAAUUAAAAUUUUUCCGUGGUGUAGAAGCUAUGGGGCGAGGGCCUACCGCCGCGCCGGUGGCGCU